rnacentral:rRNA from 1 species
GGCCGCGGGAAUUCGAUUUUGGUUGAUCCUGCCAGACCCGACUGCUAUCGGAUUGAGAUUUAGCCAUGCGAGUCGAACGUCCUCCUGUUGCGGGGGGCGUGGCGUACGGCUCAGUAACACGUAGUCAACCUGCCCUGGAGAUACGGACAACCCCGGGAAACUGGGAUUAAUUCCGUGAUAGGUCAUCUCAUCUGGAAGGAGAGAUGGCUUAAAGGGGUGCGUGAGCUUCUUUCGUGCACUUGCUCCAGGAUGGGACUGCGACCGAUCAGGCUGUUGGCGGGGUAAUGGCCCACCAAACCAGUAACCGGUACGGGCUUUGAGAGAAGGAGCCCGGAGAUGGACACUGAGACAAGGGUCCAGGUCCUACGGGGCGCAGCAGGCGCGAAACCUUCGCAAUGUGCGAAAGCAUGACGAGGUUAAUCCGAGUGGCAUCCGCUGAGGAAGUCUUUUGCCGGCUCUAAAACGGCCGGUGAAUAAGGGGAGGGCAAGCCUGGUGUCAGCCGCCGCGGUAAUACCAGCUCCUCGAGUGGUCGGGGCGAUUAUUGGGCCUAAAGCAUCCGUAGCCGGUUCCGUAGGUCCUCUGUUAAAUCCAGCCGCUUAACGGUUGGCCUGCAGAGGAUACCGCGGGACUAGGAGGCGGGAGAGGCGGGCGGUACUCUACGUGUAGGGGUAAAAUCCUUUGAUCCGUAGAAGACCACCAGUGGCGAAGGCGGCCCGCCAGAACGCGCUCGACGGUGAGGGAUGAAAGCUGGGGGAGCGAACCGGAUUAGAUACCCGGGUAGUCCCAGCCGUAAACGAUGCGAGCUAGAUGAUCCAGUCGCAAAUCGCGAUUGGAGUGUCGCAGGGAAGCCGUUAAGCUCGCCGCCUGGGGAGUACGGUCGCAAGACUGAAACUUAAAGGAAUUGGCGGGGGAGCACCACAAGGGGUGAAGCCUGCGGUUCAAUUGGAUUCAACGCCGGGAAUCACUAGUGAAUUC